UAGCUUGUUAGGAGCCUUCGACCGGCGAACGGGUGAUUAAUCCAGGGGAUUCGGCCGGAUAGUGGGGGACACCCUGGGGAAUCUCAGGUUAAUACGGCUUGUGUCUUACGGGAGAAACCAGGGGUUCUUCGGACCUGGCGCUAUCGGAUGAGCCCAGGUGGGAUAAGCUGGUUGUGGAGUUAAGGCUUCACCAGGGCGAGAAUCGUAAGUUGUUCUGAGAGGAUGUUCAGCCACAUUGGGACUGAGACACGGCCCCAGACUCCUACGGGAGGGCAGCAGUGGGGGAAUAUUGGACAAUGGGCGAAAGCCUGAUCCAGCCAUGCCGCGUGUGUGAAGAAGGCCUUCGGGUUGUAAAGCACUUUCAGCGAGGAAGAACGCUUGUGGGUUAAUACCCCGCAAGAAAGACAUCACUCGCAGAAGAAGCACCGGCUAACUCCGUGCCAGCAGCCGCGGUAAUACGGAGGGUGCAAGCGUUAAUCGGAAUUACUGGGCGUAAAGCGCGCGUAGGUGGCUAAGUCAGCCAGGUGUGAAAGCCCCGGGCUCAACCUGGGAACGGCAUCUGGAACUGCUUGGCUAGAGUGCAGGAGAGGAAGGUAGAAUUCCCGGUGUAGCGGUGAAAUGCGUAGAGAUCGGGAGGAAUACCAGUGGCGAAGGCGGCCUUCUGGACUGACACUGACACUGAGGUGCGAAAGCGUGGGUAGCAAACAGGAUUAGAUACCCUGGUAGUCCACGCCGUAAACGAUGUCAACUAGCCGUUGGGUCCCUUGAGGACUUAGUGGCGCAGCUAACGCAAUAAGUUGACCGCCUGGGGAGUACGGCCGCAAGGUUAAAACUCAAAUGAAUUGACGGGGGCCCGCACAAGCGGUGGAGCAUGUGGUUUAAUUCGAUGCAACGCGAAGAACCUUACCUACCCUUGACAUCCAGAGGACUUUCCAGAGAUGGAUUGGUGCCCUUCGGAACUCUGAGACAAGUGCUGCAUGGCUGUUCUCAGCUCGUGUUGGUGAAUGUUUGGGUAAGUCCCGUAACCAGCGCACCCCUAUCCUUAAUUGGCAACGAGUCAUGGUCGGAACUCUUAAGAGACUGGCGGGGAACAACCCGAAGAAGGUUGGGACCACGUCCAGUCAUCCUGGCCCUUAACGGUAAGGCUACACACCUGCUACCAUGGCAAGUACAAGGGUUGCCAUACCGCGACUGGAAGCCAUCCCUAAAGCUUGCCU
rnacentral:rRNA from 1 species